rnacentral:lncRNA from 1 species
GAGGUCUAGUUCCGGCCCUGCCCUCUUUCCCAGCCUCAGUUUCCUCCUGUGAGGGAGGGCUGGAGGAGAUGGUAUCUGAAAGCCAUAGAAACUCUGCCUUCAGGGUGGAGGAGGCAGGCCCCCAAACAGAUUGUAUUCAUUUCCUGUGCUGCUGUAACAAAUUACUACCAACUUGGUAGCUUAAAACAAAAGAAAUUUAUUCUCUGGAGGCUGGAAGUCCUAAAUCAAAGUGUCAGCGGAGCCACCCUCCCUCCAAAGGUUCUGGGGAGGAUCCUGCUCUUCUCCUCCAGCCUCUGGCGGCCUCAGGCGCCCUUAGCUUGUGGCUGCCUCACGCUGUCUCUGCCUCCAUCUUCACGUGGCGUCUCUUCUGAUCUGUGUCUUGUCACCCUCUGCCUUUCUCAUCUAAGGAUGCUUGCUGUCAGGUUCAGGGCCUGUCCCGAUAAUCCAGGAGGAGCUCAUCUGAGAUCCUCACCUGAAUAGAAUCCGCAAAGACCCUUUUUUCAAAGAAGCUCCCGUGCACAGGUCUCAGGUGGACCCAUCUGGGACGGGGCGGGGGGGGGGGGGGGGGGGGGGGCGGCGCACGCCAUUCAAGUCACUGCACAGAUCAGAACAGAAAAGUGAGGACCGGAGAACAGGCAGCAGUGUUGACACCGGGAGUGGCCCGUGCAUCCCACACGUGUGUGACAAGUUGUGUGCGCCCCCACGGCCUGGGCAUCCUCCACUUUGAGGAUGGGACGUUUUGCAAGGAGUGUUCAUUCUUCAACUUUUCAUGUGGACCCGAGAGAUUUUCUCUUUCCUGAAUCUCCAAUCAGUAAUAAAAGUCAGCCCUCAUACUGCCUUUAAUAGGUGCCAGGCCCUGUUCUCAGUGUUCCGUGCUUAUUCCUUCGUUUAAUCUUCACAACAUCCCUCUGAGGCCUUGUGGGUGGUUCCCCCUUUCAAGUUGGAGCUGCAACUUGCAAGUUCCAGAACUAGUAUCUGAACCCCGCAGUCUGGCUGCAGACUCCAGGGUCUUGACCGUAGCCACGCUGUCUCCUGGAGGCACACUGUCACCUGUUAAAUCUGGACUUUGAGGAAGCCACCCUCCAGAUCUCCGAUGGCGCCAUCAUCCAUUUCUGCACGGUCGGAUGUGGCAGCCACUUGUCCGCGUGUGGAUCUUGAGAGCUUAAAAUGUGGCUGGUCCAAAAUGAGAUGUGCCCUGAGGGUAACAUUCACACUGGAUGUCGAAGACGAGACGUAGUGUGAUAAAAAGAACGUAAGAUAUCUCGUUAAUAAUUGCCAAUAUUGAGUACACGUUGAGACAAUAUUUUGCAUAUAUCUGGUUAAAUAAAACACAUGAACAAAA